rnacentral:rRNA from 1 species
AAAUUGAAGAGUUUGAUCAUGGCUCAGAUUGAACGCUGGCGGCAGGCCUAACACAUGCAAGUCGAACGGUAGCACAGAGAGCUUGCUCUCGGGUGACGAGUGGCGGACGGGUGAGUAAUGUCUGGGAAACUGCCUGAUGGAGGGGGAUAACUACUGGAAACGGUGGCUAAUACCGCAUAACGUCGCAAGACCAAAGAGGGGGACCUUCGGGCCUCUUGCCAUCAGAUGUGCCCAGAUGGGAUUAGCUUGUUGGUGAGGUAACGGCUCACCAAGGCGACGAUCCCUAGCUGGUCUGAGAGGAUGACCAGCCACACUGGAACUGAGACACGGUCCAGACUCCUACGGGAGGCAGCAGUGGGGAAUAUUGCACAAUGGGCGCAAGCCUGAUGCAGCCAUGCCGCGUGUAU